rnacentral:rRNA from 17 species
GAGUUUGAUCCUGGCUCAGAUUGAACGCUGGCGGCAUGCCUUACACAUGCAAGUCGAACGGCAGCACGGGAGCUUGCUCCUGGUGGCGAGUGGCGAACGGGUGAGUAAUGCAUCGGAACGUAUCCUGGAGUGGGGGAUAACGUAGCGAAAGUUACGCUAAUACCGCAUAUUCUGUGAGCAGGAAAGCGGGGGACCUUCGGGCCUCGCGCUCUUGGAGCGGCCGAUGUCGGAUUAGCUAGUUGGUGAGGUAAAGGCUCACCAAGGCGACGAUCCGUAGCAGGUCUGAGAGGAUGAUCUGCCACACUGGAACUGAGACACGGUCCAGACUCCUACGGGAGGCAGCAGUGGGAAUUUUGGACAAUGGGGGCAACCCUGAUCCAGCCAUGCCGCGUGAGUGAAGAAGGCCU